rnacentral:rRNA from 1 species
UUAUAAGAGACAGCAGCCGCCACGGGAAUACGAAGGGGGCUAGCGUUGCUCGGAAUGACUGGGCGUAAAGGGCGCGUAGGCGGUUUUGACAGUCAGAUGUGAAAUUCCUGGGCUUAACCUGGGGGCUGCAUUUGAGACGUCAAGACUAGAGUAUGGCAGAGGGGGGUGGAAUUCCGCGUGUAGCAGUGAAAUGCGUAGAUAUGCGGAGGAACACCGAUGGCGAAGGCAGCCCCCUGGGCCAACACUGACGCUCAUGCACGAAAGCGUGGGGAGCAAACAGGAUUAGAUACCCCGGUAGUCCCUGUCUCUUAUAC